GGAGUUUAGAGUUCAAUUCCGGUGUAAGGAGACUCUGUACAUCCUCCCUGUGGAAUUUCUCAGGUUCUUCUCAUUUCUUCCGCACAGUCCAAAGGGUGACUGAGUUCCUGUCAGGAUCUUUGAUCUACACUGGCACUGAAAAUGCGGUUCUGCACGGCAGCAUGCCCCCGUUCUUGGAGCUUGCCAAUUGGCCAUGUUGCGAUAUGUCCAAGUUCAGCCUGAAGUUGGGUGCCUUUGGGGUGUGAAAACAAGUUCUCGGCAGUGUUGCGAACUGAAGCCUAGUGGGAGCUGGAACAUCGAAGACAGCAAGAGUGGCUGUCAGAGGGCUCUGCACUUGAUGAUCAGUGGCUCUCUUUCUCUCUCUUGAUGGAUUGCUUUUUCUCUCUGUCGAUGCUGAUUCUUGAAUUGGGAAACUCAAAAUAAAAAGCAGCGCUUGAGACUGACUGUAACAUUGAAAUAAUGUCUGUUGUCUUCCCUCUCGCUGAGGAAGGAGUGAUGUCUGUCUCUCCCUUGUUAGAAUGAACAGUUAGCUUUUGAUGGGCAGUCGACCAUGGUCUCUCUUUGGGGGCUUUGAGGGUGGGAGGUGGGAAUGCUGACGCUUUCUGCCAGAGUAAGUAGGGGGAGAGGGGAGAGUUGAUGCUACUUACUGCCACAUGUGCAUGGGAGGGGGUCAGAGGGCUUUAGGGUUCUUGUGUUUUUCUGUCUCGAGGACGUCUGCGAAGUGUGAGAAUUUUAGGUUGUAUAUUGUAUACAUUUCCUGAUAUUAAAUGGAACCAGUGGACCAGCUUCCCCUUCAUGGACUCUACCUGCUUUUCUUAUUGCCCCAGUAAAGCAGCCACCCCAGUCCUGUCAGGCAACUGGUAGCACGUGACCACCAGGCUCAAGAUCAGCUUCUAUUCUGCUAUUUUAAGAUCAUUGUACAAUAAGAUGGAUUCUUGUCCUUACAACCUACCUUGUUGUGGCCUUGGCCCUUAUUGCCUGCCUGAAUGGAACAUUUCUGUAACUUGAUGCUUUAUUCUGCAUUCUGUUAUGGAACUCCCUUGUACUAUCUCAGUGCACUGUUGUAAUGAAAUGAUCCAGUUGGCAUGCAAAACAGAUUUUCACAGUACCUCUGCACAUGAUAGUAAUAAGCCAGUUUAUCAAUUUACCAGUUAUGAUUAUUAUUUUACCCUUGUUACAUACAUUUCUAAUUUCCUGACUAUUACAAUGUAGCAGCCUAUAUACAACUCACACCAGUAUUUUCUGCCUAUCUUGCCUCUUAGUUCCAAACUGAUUUUGUUUCUUGGUAUCCCUCAUCCUCAUUGCUCUUAGUUCACUUCUGGAUUCAAAUGUAGACUGCCUCCUUUUUUAUGUUGCCAUUUCCUUUAAAAGACUUUUCCUCAAAUACUACAUUGCUUACAAUGUCACCUAUUAAGCACAUCACAUUGGAAUAACCAAAGUAUUAGAUUAUUCCCAUAUAUUUCUAUUGAUGCCUUUAAUUUACCCAAAUGUAUUCAAUUAAAGGUCCUUCAAAAUUUCCUUUGCUCUGCUGCAGACAUACUCUCAUGUUUUUAUGUAUGAUCUGUUCCUAAAAUACUCUAAUUAUAAUCACCCAUUUUCCUAUGCUCUGUGUGCUUUCUCUUUAAACUUUACAUCAACAGAAUGCAUGUCUUUACAAUUUAAAGCCUUCCCUAUAAUUUCAUUUAUUCGAUUUGCUAAGAAGCUGGUCCCAGUGCAAUCUAAGUGUAGCCAAUUUGAAUGGAACCUCUCCCUUCAUUCAUAGUACUGGUGCUGAAGCCUCACAAACUGGUUAACUGGAGAUCGAUGGGUGGGAAGGACAGUAGUGUAGUGGCUAGCACAAUGCUUUACAGUGCAGGUGGGUUGGGUUCACUUCCCGCUGCUGACUCCUGUAAGGAGUUUGUAUGUUUUCCCCGUGACCGUGUGGGUUUCCUCGCACAGUCCAAUUGUUCAUUGUAAAUUGUCCUGCGACAUUGGGUGGUGCAGCUCGACCAGCCCAAAGUGCUAAUUCCACACUGUAUCUCAAUAAAUAAAUAAACUGAAACCCAUUUCACCCACAGCAA